rnacentral:rRNA from 1 species
AGUGAACGCUGGCGGUAGGCCUAACACAUGCCAGUCGAACGGCAGCACAGUAAGAGCUUGCUCUUACGGUUGGCGAGUGGCGGACGGGUGAGGAAUAGAUCGGAAUCUACUUUUUCGGGGGGGAUUACGUAGGGAAACUUACGCUAAUACCGAAUACUACCUACGGGUGAAAGCAGAGGAUCUUCAGACCUUUCGCGAUAGAAUGAGCCGAUGUCGGAUUAGCUAGUUGGCGGGGUAAAGGCCCACCAAGGCGACGAUCCGUAGCUGGUCUGAGAGGAUGAUCAGCCACACUGGAACUGAGACACGGUCCAGACUCCUACGGGAGGCAGCAGUGGGGAAUAUUGGACAAUGGGCGAAAGCCUGAUCCAGCCAUACCGCGUGGGUGAAGAAGGUCUUCGGGUUGUAAAGCCCUUUUGUUGGGAAAGAAAAGAAGCAGGUUAAUACCCCGCUGUUCUGACGGUACCCAAAGAAUAAGCACCGGCUAACUUCGUG